UACGAAGGGUGCAAGCGUUGCCUCGGAAUUAUUGGGCCGUAAAGCGAGCGCGGGUGGUCUCUUAAGUCAGGAGUGAAAGCCCUGGGCUCAACCCAGGAAGUGCUUUUGAUACUGGGAGACUUGAAUCGUGGGAGAGGGUGCUAGAAUACCUCAGUGUAGUGGUGAAAUACGUAGAUAUUAGGUGGAACGACCGGCUGGGGAAGGCCGGUGACCUGGGCCCAACAUUGACACUU
rnacentral:rRNA from 1 species